GAUGAACGCUGGCGGCGUGCCUAAUACAUGCAAGUCGAGCGAACAGACGAGGAGCUUGCUCCUCUGACGUUAGCGGCGGACGGGUGAGUAACACGUGGAUAACCUACCUAUAAGACUGGGAUAACUUCGGGAAACCGGAGCUAAUACCGGAUAAUAUAUUGAACCGCAUGGUUCAAUAGUGAAAGACGGUUUUGCUGCCACUUAUAGAUGGAUCCGCGCCGCAUUAGCUAGUUGGUAAGGUAACGGCUUACCAAGGCAACGAUGCGUAGCCGACCUGAGAGGGUGAUCGGCCACACUGGAACUGAGACACGGUCCAGACCCCUACGGGAGGCAGCAGUAGGGAAUCUUCCGCAAUGGGCGAAAGCCUGACGGAGCAACGCCGCGUGAGUGAUGAAGGUCUUCGGAUCGUAAAACUCUGUUAUUAGGGAAGAACAAAUGUGUAAGUAACUAUGCACGUCUUGACGGUACCUAAUCAGAAAGCCACGGCUAACUACGUG
rnacentral:rRNA from 1 species